GGUGAGGCUCCUGGCUUUCCUAGAGCUCCCGCCCCUCCGGAUGCCGCCGCCGGGGACCGAAUCCAGCCCUCCCGGGACGGCUGGCGAGUGCGCGCCCCGUCAGCAGGCGCCGGCCGCGGGCGCGGCGUGCGUGCCCGAGGAGAGUGCGCGCUGUCGCCGCGCCGCACGCGUUUGCCGGCGCACCGACCCCCCGGACUGGCGUCCGCGUGCGGCCAGCGGAGCUCACACUCGGGAUUGGAAGGGACCGCCCCGGGCGAGGGGCAGACGCCGACCGGGAGGGCCGAGAGCCGACCUCUCCAAGACUUUGCUCUCCAGCCGCGGCUCCUCCCUGUCGCCCGCUCUCUCCCGAGGGCCCAGCUCGGAGGCCGGGUAGGUUGCUCCGCACUGCGGGGUGGCCGGCGUUCGGAGCGGGGACUCGAGGCGGAGCCGGCCCGGAAGCCCCACCCUAGCGGGCCCGGCCGCCAGGCCCUCCCCAGCCCCAGCCCCAGGCGGGAUGGGGGUGUGGUCCCGAGUUUCUCAGGAGGCUUCCAGCUUGGCGUCCAGAUCCUGCAGCAGGUUUCCCGGGAACCGGCCCCGGUCGCGCGUCCCACUUUCCGCAGCCGGCCGCCCCCAGAACGUGCCGACACCCCCGGGGAACGCCCUCGGCCGCGCGGCGCCCUCCGGAGAGCGCUCCUGUCGUCACCGCGCGCUGCAAGCGGCCGAGCCGCGGCGGGGAGCAUGCGGGACUACGACGAGGUGACCUCCUUCCUGGGCGAGUGGGGGCUCUUCCAGCGCCUCAUCUUCUUCCUGCUCAGCGCCAGCAUCAUCCCCAACGGCUUCAACGGCAUGUCCAUCGUGUUCCUGGCAGGGACCCCCGAGCACCGCUGCCGGGUGCCCGACUCCGCGAACCUGAGCAGCGCCUGGCGCAACCACAGUGCCCCGCUCCGGCUGCAGGACGGCCGCCAGGUGCCCCACAACUGCCGGCGCUACCGGCUCGCGGCGAUCGCCAACUUCUCGGCGCUCGGGCUGGAGCCGGGGCGCGACGUGGACCUGGAGCAGCUGGAGCAGGAGGACUGCCUGGAUGGCUGGGAGUUCAGCCAGGACGUCUACCUGUCCACCAUCGUGACCGAGUGGAACCUGGUGUGUAAGGAAGACUGGAAGACGCCGCUCACCACCUCCCUGUUCUUCGUGGGCGUGCUCCUUGGCUCCUUCUUUUCCGGACAGCUGUCAGACAGGUUUGGCAGGAAGAGCAUCCUCUUUGCAACCAUGGCUGUGCAGACUGCCUUCAGCUUCCUGCAGAUUUUCUCCACCAACUGGGAGAUGUUCACCGUGUUAUUCGUCAUUGUCGGCAUGGGCCAGAUCUCCAACUACGUGGUCGCCUUCAUUCUAGGAACAGAAAUUCUUGGCAAGUCAGUUCGUAUUAUAUUCUCUACGUUAGGAGUGUGCACAUUUUUUGCAGUCGGCUACAUGCUGCUGCCACUGUUUGCUCACUUCAUCAGAGACUGGCGGAUGCUGCUGCUGGCGCUGACCGUGCCGGGGCUGCUGUGCGUCCCGCUAUGGUGGUUUAUUCCUGAAUCUCCGCGGUGGCUGAUAUCCCAGAGAAGAUUUAGAGAGGCUGAAGAGAUCAUCCAAAAAGCUGCAAAAAUGAACAAUGUAGCGGUCCCGGCGGUGAUUUUUGAUCCUGUGGAGCUACAGGAGCUAAGACCCCUGAAGCAGGAGAAAGUUUUUAUUCUGGACCUGUUCAGGACAAGAAAUAUUGCCACAAUAACCAUUAUGUUUAUACUGCUAUGGAUGCUAACCUCAGUCGGUUACUUCGCUCUGUCUCUCAACUCUCCUAAUUUACAUGGAGAUGCCUACCUGAACUGUUUCCUCUCUGCCCUGAUUGAAGUUCCAGCUUACAUUACAGCCUGGCUGCUCCUGCGAACCCUGCCCAGGCGGUAUAUCAUAGCUGGGGUGCUGUUCUUCGGAGGAGGCGUGCUUCUCUUAAUUCAACUGGUACCUGCAGGUCUCUUUUCCAGAUUACAACUUCGUGUCCAUUGGCCUGGUGAUGUUAGGGAAGUUCGGGGUCACCUCUGCCUUCUCUAUGCUGUACGUCUUCACUGCGGAGCUCUACCCCACCAUGGUCAGAAACAUGGCUGUGGGGAUCACCUCCAUGGCCUCCCGAGUGGGCAGCAUCAUCGCUCCCUACUUCGUGUACCUUGGUGCUUACAACAAAGUUCUGCCCUAUAUCCUCAUGGGUAGCCUGACCAUCCUGAUUGGAAUCAUCACCCUGUUUUUCCCUGAAAGUUUAGGAAUGACUCUACCAGAGUCCUUAGAGGAGAUGCAGAAAGUGAAAUGCAUACAUCUUAUUUUCAGGUUCAGGUCUGGGAAAAAAACAAGAGAUUCAAUGAACAAAGAAGAAACCCCCAAAGUUCUAAUAACUUCAUUCUGAUGAAAAUUUCUACCCCACUCGGUGAACUGAAAAACAGAGACAUAAGACCCUGAAGAAACCAAAGCUUUUCCUGAUGAAAUGGACUGACUGUAACCAAACGGGCCCUGCUGUUGAGAAAUGCUCGUCAUGUAGCAAAUUCUGGACCACUCUCCCAGAUCAUCUCCUUUUUUAAAAGAACUAACCAUUUCUAUAGAGUCCACCUUACUAAUGAGUCCAGCGAAAUGGGUUUGUCAGGUUGUUUGAAAAUGUGUUGGUUAAGGACUAGUCAAUACACAUAAAGAUUAACACUCAUUUCCAAACAAGCGACUGCCGCCCAAAUAAAGCGUCAUUGUAUUCA